GAUGAACGCUGGCGGCGUGCUUAACACAUGCAAGUCGAACGAUGAAGCCCAACUUGCUGGGUGGAUUAGUGGCGAACGGGUGAGUAACACGUGAGUAACCUGCCCUUAACUCUGGGAUAAGCCUGGGAAACUGGGUCUAAUACCGGAUAGGAGCGCCUACCGCAUGGUGGGUGUUGGAAAGAUUUAUCGGUUUUGGAUGGACUCGCGGCCUAUCAGCUUGUUGGUGAGGUAAUGGCUCACCAAGGCGA
rnacentral:rRNA from 1 species